AUGAGCAAGGUAUGCGUCACCGGAGCUGCAGGGUACAUCGCGUCCUGGCUCGUCAAGAAGCUCCUCGAGAGAGGCUGCACCGUCCACGGGACCCUGCGGAACCUCGGGGAUGAGAAGAAGACGGAGGUAAUGAGGGGGCUCCCCGGCGCGGCGGAGCGGCUGGUGCUGUUCGAGGCGGACAUCUACGACGCCGCCUCCUUCGAGCCGGCCAUCCAGGGCUGCGAGUUCGUCUUCCUCGUCGCCACCCCGCUGCAGCACAACUCCGGCAGCUCCAAGUACAAGGAUACCACCGACGCGAUCGAGGACGCGACGCGUGCCAUCCUACAACAGUGCGAGCGAUCCAAGUCAGUGAGACGUGUCAUCAGCACGGGGUCCGUUAUCACGGCGUCGCCGCUCCGCGAGGACGGGAAAGGGUACAAAGAGUUUGCCAAUGAGUCUUGCUGGACCCCGCUCGGCCUGCCCAUUGAUCACAGCAACGAAUUCAUGGACGAUUACCUUUCCUCUAAGUGCAUUGCUGAGAAGGAGCUAGUCAAGUACAACGACAGCCCCUCGGAGAGCAGAGCGUUCGACGUCGUCGUCCUGUUACUGGGCCUCGUAGGAGGAGACACCCUCCUGCCGUACAUCAACGAGAGCCAGCACUUCAUGCUGUCGCCUUUCACCGGCAUCGAGCCUUACCACAACGCCCUCAGGUACACGCAGGCCCUCCUGGGCUCCGUGCCGGUGGUGCAUGUCGACGACGUCUGCGAGGCGCACGUCUUCUGCAUGGAGCGCCACCGCGACGUCGCCGUCGGCCGGUACCUCUGCGCCACCGCGCACCCCAACAUGCAGGAUCUGGUGGAGCACUACGCGAGCAACCACCCAGAGCUCAAACUAGCGCGGAAAGAGGUGGUGGGAGAGGGAGUCCGAGUGCAGGCCAACACGAACAAGCUUGUGGAGCUGGGGUUCAAGUUUAAGUACCGGGCAGAGGAGGUGCUUGAUGGCAGUGUGGAUUGCGGGAAAAAGUUAGGAGUGCUGUCAGUGGCGGAUCAAGGAUCCUAA
rnacentral:rRNA from 1 species